rnacentral:rRNA from 1 species
CUACUGUCUCUUUUCGAAUACUUUAAAAUUAAUAAGGGGGUGAAAAUGCCCCCAAUCUGAAUAAUAGACGAGAAGACCCUAAGAAUUAUAAUAAUACAUGAAUUGAUUUUGUUACUAUUUUUGUUGGGGCAACAGAGGUGCAAAUUUAAGUAAACCACCUUAAAAUUUUUACUAACAAGCCGAAUAAUUUUAAGAUCGAUUUAAUUACCUUAGGGAUAACAGCAUAAUUAUAUAUUUUAGUUUGUGACCUCGAUGUUGGACUAG